UGCAAGUCGAGCGGAACGAUCCUAGCUUGCUAGGAGGCGUCGAGCGGCGGACGGGUGAGUAAUGCAUAGGAAUCUGCCCGGUAGUGGGGGAUAACCUGAGGAAACUCAGGCUAAUACCGCAUACGUCCUACGGGAGAAAGCAGGGGCUCUUCGGACCUUGCGCUAUCGGAUGAGCUUAUGUCGGAUUAGCUGGUUGGUGAGGUAACGGCUCACCAAGGCGACGAUCCGUAGCUGGUCUGAGAGGAUGAUCAGCCACAUCGGGACUGAGACACGGCCCGAACUCCUACGGGAGGCAGCAGUGGGGAAUAUUGGACAAUGGGGGCAACCCUGAUCCAGCCAUGCCGCGUGUGUGAAGAAGGCCCUCGGGUUGUAAAGCACUUUCAGUGAGGAAGAAGGCUUGUCGGUUAAUACCCGGCAAGGGAGACAUCACUCACAGAAGAAGCACCGGCUAACUCCGUGCCAGCAGCCGCGGUAAUACGGAGGGUGCGAGCGUUAAUCGGAAUUACUGGGCGUAAAGCGUGCGUAGGCGGCUUGAUAAGCCGGUUGUGAAAGCCCCGGGCUCAACCUGGGAACGGCAUCCGGAACUGUCAGGCUAGAGUGCAGGAGAGGAAGGUAGAAUUCCCGGUGUAGCGGUGAAAUGCGUAGAGAUCGGGAGGAAUACCAGUGGCGAAGGCGGCCUUCUGGACUGACACUGACGCUGAGGUACGAAAGCGUGGGUAGCAAACAGGAUUAGAUACCCUGGUAGUCCACGCCGUAAACGAUGUCGACUAGCCGUUGGGGUCCUCGAGACCUUUGUGGCGCAGUUAACGCACUAAGUCGACCGCCUGGGGAGUACGGCCGCAAGGUUAAAACUCAAUGAAUUGACGGGGCCCGCACAAGCGGUGGAGCAUGUGGUUUAAUUCGAUGCAACGCGAGACCUUACCUACCCUUGACAUCG
rnacentral:rRNA from 1 species